rnacentral:lncRNA from 1 species
UAAAUAUAAAAUAAAAUUGAGAAAGGAAAUGGUGAAUAUGUCAAAGCGACAACCAUCCGACCAUAGAGCAAACAACAGCCGAAGGCAACCAAUGGGUCUUCAAUGCAGCGAGAAUUCCCGCACCCGUAGGUGUCCCUCAGCCGGCCCCUAAAAUAUGCAUAAUAGUACAGUGACAAUGGACGCCAUACUAAACUCCGAAUUAUACACAAGAAACCAAAAUUUAAAAUCAUACAAGACUAACAAAGGCCAGAGGCUCCUGACUUGGGACAGGCGCAAAAUUGCGGCGGGGUUAAACAUGUUUAUGAGAUCUCAACCCUCCCCCUAUACCUCUAGCCAAUGUAGAAAAGUAAAAGAAUAACAAUACGCACAUUAAAAUUCAGUUCAAGAGAAGUCCGAGUCUGAUGUCAAAAGAUGUAACAAAAGAAAAUAAAUAAAAUGACAAUAAUACAUAAAUAACAACAGACUACUAGCAGUUAACUGACAUGCCAGCUCCAGACCUCAAUUAAACUGAU